UAUAUUUUAAGAGCCUCCGAUCUGAUUUGUCAAUCAAUUGGUUCGACCAAUCAUUGAUAUUAUUCAUUCGGUUUUAAUAACUAUACUUUCGAUCCAAUUUGUUUCGAUUUUAUUUCUGUAAAGAUGUCUUUGGCUUAAAAGUUUGGUUUCAUAAUGGCUCAUGAACCGGACAAGGGGGGAACAAACCGGACCGUGAACCGGCCUGACCGGACCAUAAGCUUUCCAACCUGUUCCACUUCAUGAACCGAUCAAACCCUAAACGUUGUCAUGCAAAACCAUCGCUCGGAUGGCCGCGAAGACCGACGGUGGAAACCCUCCCAUGCCAUUGUUCUCAAACCCCGACGACAUCUCCCGCAGUCGAAGCCUGACGCCGAGACUACCGUCGGAGUCCCCCUCAUCACGUCCGUCUCCGAGUGGGAUGAUCUCGGAAACCGAUGCGGCCAUCGCCGAAUUAGCCUCCCGUUUCGCCGAAAACCUCAGAGCAAGUUCAAACGUCCCAAAUCCCUUAGUAAAGGCGAGUUCUUGGGGCCUCUUGACCUCGUCCUUGCGAACGGCUCCUAAAGAAUCCGUCGGUUGCGUCGCUGCAUACCCAUCUGGCGCCGAAUUCGCGCGUGCGGGGAGAGAGAAGCUGGGAUUUCUGAUAGGUCCGGAUGUUUCCAGUGGGAUCGCCAUGUGCUGCGUUGUUCUCGAGGAAUGGGAAGUUCUGAACGCCCUGCUUCCGCGAAUCUGACGGAGAAGCUUGUGGAGAUGAAUCAAAAUGAGUCGCUCUAUCCCUUGGCCAAGCAUGUCUCGGAUCUCCGGUUCUCGGAACCUCUCUGUUCUUGGCAUUUCUCGUCACCGACUAAGGAUUCUUAUCAGAGAUGGUUGCGGCGAGAAAGCAAUGGGAAUGGCAAACUCUUUUAGCUAUUAAGAAUUCUACCCGAGUGGGCCUGCCGAAGAAAGUGACAAAACUUGCUAGAGAGGCUUCAAUUCUACCAAUGAUGGCUUACGAUGGUUUCAGAUGUGUGCUUGCGUUAUGUGUUUGUGUAAUCGGAUGCAGAUGGACUUGUGUGAUCUCCAACGAUCUCGAUAUUAGAUUGAGAGAAGAUACUGAAUCUGAUUUGCUACUUCUUUAAAGUGGCUGAUGCACCAGCAACGAUUCCUGGAAGCAUGCCCCUGUCCUUUAGCUGGAUCAGUGCUGGGCUUGAGAGCCUCUGAGACUGUUUCUUCACUUGAAUCCACCAAUAAAGGAUUGACCUUGGUGUUAGAUGAACAUUUCUCAUACUUGGUCUUGGGUUCUGAGUUCCAUGAUGAUAUGAGAGCUGCUGACAAUGUUGUUAGCUCUCUGGCACUGGGGAAGAACUUGUCUUGUCUUGUCCUUUAGAGGAUACAGUCGAGCACCUGCUAUUGGAAAUUAGACUGAAACAAGGUUUUAAGUGUGAGCUUUUCUCCGAGGUAGUCAGAAGUGAGAGUUCAAAACUUUUCCUGGUACAAACCAUGUUCAGGUUUGUUUCUUGGAUUGAAAAUGGAGCGAGAAAGAUGUACUUGGUGGAUGUGAAUGAUUGUACCUGUUGCAGAUUCAAGGUAGUCUGGUAUCUGGAGGUUAAUUCCUUUUCGAGUAAGGUGAGCGGGAAUUCACAAGCUAACAUUAUUGGCAGAGGAGGAUGUAUACAAAGAGAUGCUGACCUUGAGAUGGAGCACAGCAUACUCGAUGGCCGCUCCAACACCAGCAUACUUUACCUGCAGGAAAGAAGAAAAGCAUAAAUGGGAGUUAGCAAUGGCGGACUUGUAUAGAAGCAGCCGCAGAAAGUGUUGCACUUAACGGGAAAGGUUUAAGGAUAUGUAUGUAUACAUUACCUGGUCAUAGGGAGGGACCAUGUUGGCUAUGUUGCGGAUGGUGAAGGCUUCACCGGGCUGGAAGUUGAGCACCACGGACGGGCACACACGGGAGUCGGCGCAUGCGAACACCAUGAACUGCACCACCACCACCACCACCACCACUAAUUUAAGCUUAUCAUUAACAGGAAAAUUAAACCGAAACACGCCACACUGUCUUCUCUUUCUCAGUUGAGUAUGCUGCAAUCCUCCCUCUCUCUUGAAUUGUUGUAAUUACUGAUGACUAGCAUAUUUUUUAUCAAUCGAAAGACUGAUCAAGUGAGCUCUUCAUUUCAGGUUAUUAUGAGAUUUGAGUUUGGUUAAGCUGACCUUGGGGCUUUGACCCUCUUUGAGUUCAGCAAACAAAUCCGACUUCUUCCUGCAAUGGAAACCACUUCAGCUGUGAAGAUCCUAAAGAGGAUGAACACAUGAACAACGCAUCGACUCAUGGCUCAGGCGACUCACUCAUAGACCUCCUUCUUGAACUGCACAAACCCGGACUGGACCCGCUCCAGUGGCUCCAUUUCCUGCAAGUGUUGGACGAAAUUACUGGCGAUCUCCCCAGGGUUGGAAUCCAAGUUUUAGGAUAGGGGAGAGGGGAAGGUUUGGUCUUCUUUUGGUGUGGUGUUGGUGCCGCCACGCACCUUGCGUUCUUAUAGAUCUUGUGGCUUGUGAUCAAAAUUGGACUACUCAUUGCAUAUGAUAGGCGGAUGUGGUCUUAUGGUGUUUGGUGUAGAAGAAGGUUUGGUCUUCGGCUCGACCUUCCUCGUUGACAUAUGUAGUUGAUGUGGCUUAUCCAAAGACAUGAGAAAAACGCUUUUACAUAUCUAUUAUUGUAAGGCUUGUCGACAGCACACUUGCAAUAAAAUAUUUAAAUUACUUUUAUAAAAUGUAUUCACUACAAAACCUUAAAUGGCAUAAUCGUUAAUUAGCAACCUUAAUACAAUCAUUAAAAAUAAUAAUAAAAUAUAAUUUUAUUCAAUACAAUCUUUCAAUUAUUACUCAUUCUAAUAAGAAUUCUUGAAAUUAAGAGAUAAGUUGAGAUCAUUUAUAUCUCUAUUUGCAAAGAGGUAUAUUAGAAAUAUUAAAAAUUAGCCAAAAAUAAGUAGAAAUUACUUAUAAAAAUUAUUAAUUUGGGAGGGAUGUAUGAAACAUAUUAUCCCUAUAAUUAGUUAUUUUAGUAUUUUGAUCCCUAUAUUUUUAAAAGAUAUAUUAGAUAAAAGUAAACAUUGAUAAAGAUCUUAAUGUAAUUUUUAAAAAUAUAUAAAUCAAGAUGCUUAAAAAUAACACAUUACAAUAAUAUAUAAUUAGCCCGUGUUAAGUCAGUUUUAAGAUUACAAGUCGAUCAUGUAUGCAUGAACGCGUGACACUUCCAGUACGUGCGGAGUACUAUAUAUAUAUAUAUAUAUAUAUAUAUAUAUAUAUAUAUAUAUAUAUAUAUAUGGAGGAUCUG